GGGAGCGCAUCGGCGGGCGCGGCGGCGGAAGGGGCGGCGGCGGCGGUGUGGCGGGAGUGGACGGAGGAGUCGUCCUCGAGGCCGAGGAGGCAGUUCACGGAGGCGGAGUCGGCGGAGACGCCGCGCGGGAGGUCGUCGAGGGCGCCGAUGGCGCUGUUGAGGGCGUCGACGAACCACGUCUCCGACUUGGACGAGUCGUCCAGCAGCGACCCCAUGGAGGAGGACGGGGUGGACUCGGCCUUCGCGGGGAAGAGGAAGAGGCGGAGGCGGGAGCUGCGGGUGGAGCCUCCGCCGCCUCCGCCGCCGCCAGCUGCUGCAGCGCCGCCAGAGGAGGACGCGGCGGAGGAGACGAUGCGGUCGUACUCGUCGAUCAUGUUGUCGAGGUCCUCGUCGGUGGAGACGGAGAUGAGGGAGUCGAGGUCCUCGUUGGGGAGCUGGUACUUGAGGGAGAAGGGGCGGCCGCCGAGGAGGGAGCGGGACAGCUUGGCUUGAAGGUCGGCGAGGGAGGAGUGCCGGUCCACCACCACGAUCCGCGUCUCGCCGCCCAGGUAGCACAACGACUUGUCGGUCGGCCGGGGGACGAUGCGCCCGCCGUAGCUGCACAUCAGGCGCAGCCGGGACGGGGCGGCGGCCGAAGCCGGCGCGUAGGCGAAGGGCUCGUCCCAGGACUCGCCUCCGCGGGAGCGUGGGGAGGACUCCACCGAGUCCGGGUAGCCGCCCGUCUCCAUAGGGGACGGAUCGAGAUCGGAUUGAUGGGGGGUUUUUUGCAAAAAAGGAAGAAAGAUAGGUGCGGAGAGACCGAGAGGAGGAGAGGAGAAAAAGUGUCGGGGGCCGGGGAUAGGCUUCUCUCUUACUUUUUCGUCGGUGCGGGUCCCCCUCCGGAGCUUUGAAUGAGGGGGUAGUGAGAAAGUCCGGAACCGAGGGCAAAAUAUCUUGGUGAAACGAUCUCUAUGUCCAUGUUAUUAUUAUUAUCUUGUUCUUCGAAAAGAAAAAGAAAAUUAUCUAAAUUGAGUAGGCCAGGCUUUUCUUGUCCUUGUAACUGACUUUUCAUAAAUUUUAUUUUUUUAUUAUGUGUUUUAUCUAAUUUUAGUUUGGCCAAUUUGCAUAAAAAAUUUACUUAUUUUAGACUUUUCUAAAAUCGGACCAUCUUUUUCGUUUUUACAGAUUCGGUCCAUUUUUUCAGCAAACUAGCGAAAAUAUCCUUAUACCUUUUUCUUUUUUCUCUUUCUCUCUCCUCUUCGUUUCUCUCUUUUUUUUUCUUUCUCUUUCCAGAGAGCGGCGGAGACGGAGCGGAGGCGCCCGUAUACUUUUUUCUCUCUCCUCUUUUUUCUCGCGUUCUUUUUUUUCUUUCUCUUUCCAGAGAGCGGUAGAGACAAAAUGGAGGCGGCCUGCUUCGAUUUUGUCCGGCGCAUCCUUACUCUUACCCGCACACCCCCAUCUUCCUCGCCUCUGAUCCCGCCGAGGCCGCGCCGCGACUCUUUUUUUUUUUUUUACCUCUCCAACUCUCCUACACUGUCUCCGACGACGACACCUCUCUUGCCUUUCUCCACCCUUCUCGUCCUCUCCCUCUCCCUCUCCCUCCUCCUCUGGCGCAUCCGACGACGAUGCAUCUUCGCCGGCGCCGAUACCGACACCGUGGAGGUCACUGCAGCGCUGCAGCCUCGGAGCGGGGGUCCUUAGCGGCGUCGUCGCCGGCGCUGUGACCGUUGGCAGAGAGGGGUGACCACAAAAAUAAUAAAAGAAGCAAGAAAAAAAAUAAAGAUAAAAACUUAUAGAAAAAGAAGGAUAAAGAUGAAAUUCCAUCGUUAACUACAAAAAAAAUUAUAAGUUGCAUUACUUAAAAUGUAAACUGCAGCUUUAAGAUGAAAAUUACACUCUUUAAAUAAAAAUUACACUAUUUGGGAGAUAUUUACACUAUUUUUUCUUUUAUUGUACUAUUUCAGAUGUAAACUGUCACGCCCCAAUCCCCGCCAAUUUGGUCGGGUUCGGGUCACGUCAACAGACGCCGAACGGACAGAGCCUCCCCUGUCCGCCCAAGGCUCUAACAACAAGUAUAAAUAGGCAAUCAACAAGCGAAUUGCAUAUGUAAUACAAGGCUUGCACGAGGGCAAGUGUGACGCACUGGACCUUUGCAAAUUGCGAGGUUUGAGUGUUUGAUCUGUGUGACGAGCCAUCUCAGACUGUCUGAAGGGUCGUAGACAGUGUUCCGACCUAUGGUUCGAGUCCCGAGAAUUGUGGUUUGAAACAGUGUACCAAAAUCCAAAAAGUUGGAUUUUUGGUUAGCUCUUGGAUUAGCCUCAGCCAGGCUGUGUACCGGUACAGCCUUGAUGGUUGUACCGGUACAGAAUUUGUACCGGUACGCCUUGAUGGUUGUACCGGUACACAAUAGGUUUUCUGCCAACCCGAGGCUCGGGUUGGGCAGUUUCGCAGAAGGUGUACCGGUACACUUUCCCGUGUACCGGUACACAAUGCAGAAUCUGGGCAGUUUCGUGGAGGGUGUUUUUGCAAUUGUUGCAACCCCUUUAUAAACAACCCCAGCCCCUUUGAGAGCUCCUUUGAGCCCUAAACCUGAGGAGACAAGGUAAGAACUCCCUCUCUUGAGUUGCUCUCCAUUUUUUGAUGGAUUUUGUUGGGUUGAUCUUUCCUCUCUGCUUUUCUUGCUUCUUAUUGGUCCUCCAUGAGAGAAGCUUGAAGCUCGGAUUGGAGCUUUUGGAGGGAGAAUUCUUCAACCCAUUUGUGGGGCCUAGUUUGGAGCUUCUAAGAGGUUAGUAACUAGAUCCUUUCCUCUAGAUCUAGUUUUUGUGGAUUUUACUAGAUCAAACCUAGAUUUUGGAUUUUAGGGUUAAAUUUGGAAUUUUCGUUUUGAGGGCUUUUGUACAAAAUUGAUGGGUUUAGAAUCUUGUUUAGUUAGAUUGGAAGGACUCUAGCUCCCAUUUGGAGAUUGUGAGAGCUUCCUUCGCAAUCGGUGAGUUUUUCGUCAACCUACCCUAUAUGCUUAAUAAUUGAUCUUGAGCGUGUCCGUUCGUUCGGCUCAUAUGACUCAUGUUCUUGUACCUCUAGGGUACUAGGAGACUAGAGGACACCCUCGUUGGAGCGCACGAGGAGUUUCGUUGUCAUCGGUGGGUUUGGCUUCGUGGAAAUGGGGCGAAAUGGCCCCUAUACUCUUUCUACUUGUUGUAAAUUAUGUUUAAGUUCAUUUCUAUGCUAAAUGGAAUUUAUAUGAAUUUUAGAGCACUUAAAGUGCAUGCCUCGUGUAUUAUGAAAAUUUCACUAUAUAGUAGAGCUAUAUGAGUAGAAUGCAUGCAUACGGAAAAAGUGUUUAUUUUGCAAGUGAAAAAUACAUCUCUUAUGAGAAUUAUGACUUGGAAUAUGUAAUUUGGAACAUAGUUACCAUGUUUUGACAUAGAGAACCAGAGUGUCAUAAAGGGGCACUUGAAACUAGUAAACUAUGAAACUGCAACAUAGAGACAUAUUGGUAGGCCACUACAUAUCUGCUAUAUUCCAUGUUAGAGACAUGACGACAUAGAGAUAGGCCAUCGUGAUACUUGACAUAUUCCAUGUUUUAGACAUGAGUACUUGGUACUUGAAACAGAUCAUUGCUUGCUUGCCAUUUGUGCUCAUUCGCACAUGCUUGUGAGGGUCGCGCCCUACAAGCCGGCACUCCGGAGAUAGCCAUCGCGACACAUGCUCGCCGUGCGGGAUUGGGCGCCGAAGUGGAUCGCCGUGGGGAAGGCUCAUCUCUAGAGUGGGGAUGUUGACUACCACGGGGCCAUUAGGCACGGCGCAGGCCAGACAGCCUUCGGGUGGGUCUUGCAUGAUUGGGACUUAGUGACAGAUCAUGCAAUGUGAACUUUAAAACUAUUAAAGUGGACUUGGACUAGAAUAGUAAACGACGACAUUUUUACUAUCUUUGCAUUAAGGACAUUGGGUUGGUUGCAUUUCUACGCUUAUGCAUGUCUUACACAUCCAUGUACAUUCAUGUUAUAGUUGAUUUAUUACUUAUGCAAAUCAUGCUAAGUGGAGACUCUAUGUUAUAGUAAGUUAUAUUUCACUUACCGUUUAAUUAUUACAUUGUUAGUCACUGACCUCUUCUUGUAGCUUUUGGGCCUUGUGGCGCAGUUCACUGAAGUCAGUAAUUGCCCACUGUGAACUAUUUUUAAUAGUUCUCACGCCCCUGUUUUCUGGUUUUCUCUUCAGAGCCUUCGGCACCGGCGGAGGCACGGGAUCGCGGCAAGGGGAUCGCUUAGCUAGCUAGCGAGGAGCGGUUCUUACUUAGGUGGUUUGCUCUUUCUUUUGUAUUUUGAGAGAGUGUGAGAUUUUUGUACCCAUGUAUAGAGACCACCUAUGUACCUACCUAUAGCACUUGUAUUUGGGAUUUCUUAUUGUAUUUACUUUAUGUCUUAUUUAGUGAAUUUACAGUUUCAUCCUUAUUUCUUGUUGUAGCAUUUAGACAUUUAUUAUGCUCUGAUACUCCUAGAUGUCUUCUAUUAUUGCUUUUAUUAUUGUUGUUUUUAGACGCCUUAUAUGUUGAAGACAUAUGGCGGGUCUGGGCACGUGCCGGGCGGGCUUCCGCUGGGUCCCGGGGCGUGACAGAUUAAUGUGGUAUCAGAGCCUAGGGUUGAGUCUUAGGGGACCUAGCAAACCUUAGGCCGGUUGGACUAUAGGAAAUAGGCUCGUGAGAGACGAGGUCUAUUCGACUUGUGAGCGAAAGUAUCAUGAUUGNACGUCGUCGUCGUGGUCGUCGUCAACGUCGUCGUCGUGGUUGUCGGAGUCUUCAAGUAAGGACGGGUAGGGGUCAUGUAGGUGGUGGGCCGGUGACCGUGGAAGCAGGGACAGGGGAGAAUGAUGGGCUAAGUCGUCAGACGCGUUAGGGUAUGGAUGCUAGGGGUCCCGGCAGGGUACAUGAAGCAGGGACAACCGGUCUUAGGGGGUCGCUGGCCCUAAAGCUAGGGCUUGCAUGGUCGCUUCGGGCUUAACGGGGGACGGUCGAACAUAGCUUGACGCCGGCGGCGUAGGGGAAGAGGACGACAAGGGCACAGCUGGGGAGAAUAGGGGUAGGGACGGCGACGACGGCGACUAGUCCACGUGGGAAUGGGGCCUUACCCCAUGGUACACUACGUGGUGGUCGUUGGUUAGGUCAGGAGUCGGCCUUUGGGGUUGAUGCCAAUACUUAAACGGCUGGGUCGAGUAUGGGUCUACAUGGUGAGCGUUGGGUGCAAGGCGGGAAGCGACCGGGGAGUCAAGGUCUGACACCAGAGGCGUCGACGUCGCCGUCCCCAGUAAGGGCUACCCCGUCGUCCGCUUAGCUUCGUUCCUUCUCGUAGUAUUUAUGUCCCGUUGGCUUACGUUUUUAUUUUCUUCCUAAACCACUUCCAUUCACGCUUAAUAGCAGAUGAGAAAUAGUAGAACAAAAUAAGAGUUAAUACGGUAUACCUAACAACACUAGCCUAACGGUUUCAUAACAAAUACUCCAGUCAUCAUAUACAAACAUCAAUUAGUCAAAAACAACAGAAUAUCGCUGGUUGCCUUCACUCAACAACAUUCACAGAAGAAAUGAAAUAUAAAGUCAACAGUGACAAGAAGCCAUAUCGAGUCAAAAUUCUUUUAUUUGAGAGUGUACCACAAAAGUAAUCAAAAUCAAAACGUAUACUAUAAAUAAGAAUAUAAGAACAAAUACUUAUAACCAAACGUUUAAUUUAUGUGCUUUUGUUCCCCUAAUAGAUAAAAGGGUGUGAGUAACCAGGAAAAUAGAUGAAAGAAGGAGUAGUGACUAGCAGUUAGGAAGAUAGAUAGGAGGAAAAUAAGAAGAAGAAAUGACAGAGAAGAGAAAGAUCACUAUAGUUGACCUUCAUUACUCGGUACUGAGAAAGAAAUCUUAACACUGUACCUCGACUUUUCCAAGCGAGACGAACAACAACCACUUCCACUUAGUCAUAAAAUAUGUUAUACUUUCGGUUUUUCAUCAAACGAUGUAAUUUAAACGGAUUGAACGUGGAAACCAGGUGUUUGAUACUCUACGGACGAUAAAAUCAACAGUUUAAAAUUAAAUAACAUUAACACCCAGACUUCAAAAUCUAACCAUUUUAGUUUUAAUAUAGUAAUAACCAAUUAAUUUAAUAUGAAACCCUGAACAAACAUGUUUAAUCUUUCAAGGUUCCUCCUUUAACGUUAUUUUGAUCUCACUCUCCUAAUCUCGCAGUCUUGAGUUAUCAAACUCCUAGUUUUCAUGUUAAAUCGGCGAUUUAAAACCUAUUUAACUUGAUGAGAGACUUAAAGGUGAGAAUUCAACCUAAAACCAGAGUUUGAGAGCAUAUACUUUAAAUUCUGAAACUUUGAAAGCUGUAUAAAAUAAAAUCUUAGUUCGAACGUUUUCACAAAGUGAUAUCUAAAAUAGAACUUCAUUCUUAAUAACGAACAUGUAUCAAGUAGAAUACAAGCGUGUGGUAUUUAAGGCGGAUAAACCAUAGGUUGACAAUGAAAGUUAAAAUAUCGGUUAAACAACAAUAAGGCACCUAACCUCCCAACUUUAUACACUAUCCUAAUUUGUAGUCAUUUACGUAUCAUAUAUUUAUAUGCCUACGUGGUAUACAUGGUAAUUAUUCAUUCGUUAACGAACACGUACCAAAUAAAAUACAAACAUAUGUUAUCUAAGACGACUAAAAAAUAGGCUAAAAAAUAGGUCGAUAAUGAAAGUUAAGUUACCGAUUAAAAAUUUAUCCCUUUUCUAACGAACCAGGCACUUAUUCUCCCAACUUUACAGACUAUCCUAUUUUGUAGUUACGUACGUAUCAUAUCUUUAUAAUUCUACGUGUCCUAUAUUCGUUAUCGAAUGGUAAAUUACCAUUCCUACGCACUCCUAAUUUUAUUUUAUAAAAAAUUCUCAAAUCCGAGCGAUUGUAACUUAAUUGUCAAACCUAUGGUUUUAUUUUGGAUCGAUGUUCAUGCUUCUGAUCAUCACGGAGGAAAAAGAAAAAGGAAAAAUUAAAUUCUUGUAAACGGGCGACCGUAUGAUGGCUACGCUAAAUAGGUAUAUUAAAACCAAACUGCUGCUGCUGCUGCAACUGCUGAUGCUGCUGCUGCUGCAACUGCUGGUGCUGCUGCUGCUGCAACUGCUGCUGCUGAUAGGAAUACUGCUGCUGGAGUUGCUCUGGAGUCAGAUAUGCCUGGUUGGAUACAGUCACUGGAAUCCGAUAGCCUCCGGCAUCGGAAGGAUUCAACUCGCCGGAAGCAGGCCUCUCCUGAUAGUACAUGUUCCUAGAUGAACCAAGCAAAUCAAAGUCAAAUAAGUUGUAAAAUUUCCCAAGAGAAAAAGAACAAGGGUUUAAUUGGAUCCGACGAAGACAGAUAACCUGGCGCUCAAAUCGGAGCCGAUUGCGUCGAGAGGAGCUGGUUUCGGCUGGAUCGGAGGCUGCAGGGGUCGACGGAUGCCGCCGUGGUCGGAUUUCUCGUCGUCGGAGGAGAAAACCCCGACCCGGUUGGGGUUUUCGGUGGGGGAGAUGGUCGGAGUGGAUCCGGGAGCGGCAGGGAGAGGGAUCUGAGGCGGGAGGUGGGUCGGAGCGUACCCCUCGUCCGGCCGCUGCUGCUGCUGCAGCUGCCCCUGAGAGGCGAUGUGAUCGGGGGGGCGGUCGUCGGGGCGGACGCGGAUCGGCGGGAGGUUGGACAGCGAAGGCGCGGAGGAGGUCGAUCCGAAGGACGAAUUCUUGUCAAGCAUCGGCGAGUCGGGGCCCGACUGCACGUCCUGCCCGCCGUGGCGCGCGAGCUUGCCGGAAGAGUCGGGGCGGGGGAGCGCAUCGGCGGGCGCGGCGGCGGAAGGGGCGGCGGCGGCGGUGUGGCGGGAGUGGACGGAGGAGUCGUCCUCGAGGCCGAGGAGGCAGUUCACGGAGGCGGAGUCGGCGGAGACGCCGCGCGGGAGGUCGUCGAGGGCGCCGAUGGCGCUGUUGAGGGCGUCGACGAACCACGUCUCCGACUUGGACGAGUCGUCCAGCAGCGACCCCAUGGAGGAGGACGGGGUGGACUCGGCCUUCGCGGGGAAGAGGAAGAGGCGGAGGCGGGAGCUGC
rnacentral:lncRNA from 1 species